CUUUCUCCGAAAAUAAGUCACUCCGGGUGGCUGUUUUGCCAAUAGCUGUAAUUUUACUUCUUAAGCAUCAACUAUUUUUUCUGUCAAAACAAGUUGUAUGAAACCUGAAGAGACAGUGUCAUCACCCACCCACCUCAAUGGAAAGACAAGAAUUUAUGCUCUUCCUCAAACAUGAAGAUCAUCAUUUGAAUUCAGGAGGACUGUCCCGCAUUCGUCCAGCUCACUCAGAGCACCACGCUUGCCCCAUGCCUGUCUGGGAACUUCUAUCAGAACACUAGUUGAUGUAUUCGGAGGAUGGCAGACUUGCUAAAAGGAGCAGAUAUGAAACACCUUAGACGUGUGGACAUCCCUCAUUUAACUCUGAUAUUACGGUUGUAGCAACAACAGGCUGUGGUCAGUGAGUGCACAGGAGAUAUAUGCUGGAGGCCUUUAGGAAAUCGUUUAUCUCUUGGUCCAAAGUUUCAUUCCCCAUUCUUUCAUCCUUGUCCUGGAAUCGGAUACCUGAACAGAUAGGCAAAGGAUUUGCCUUACGCCAAAAUGAGAGCAAUUGCUGGGUCAAAGAACCUGACAGACAAUGUUGAGCCUCUGCAGGAAAAGCAACAUCUACUCACCUGGAUUGCUGCUCUUAAAAUAAAUAGAGGAAAGCUCCUCCACACAGCUUCGCUUGGACUCCUGUUUUAAAAAGACCAACAAACGUUGCCGGACACAAACGAGAGAAUAAGCAGCAGCGAUGAAGUACACCAUAUGUUCCUGUUGUAGGCUGAAUCCAGGUCUUUGUUUCAAUAUUCCAGCGCCAGCAGCAAGGAAAGCGAACUAACCGCCUAUUUAAAUUUAUUUUCUCAUUAUUGCGGUAAAAGUUACACUAAUGAUAGGCUCAACCCGAACCCAUUCUGUCUCAUUAUUGGCUUCUGUAAUCCAGAUCUUUUGCAAUCCCAGGAACCUGAAAUACAAUCGCCCUGGAUAACAGGUCCGUAGCAGAACAAUCUGAUAAGCCAACACAAGCGGCACGUACUGAAGA